GAUCAGSCCAGCAUCGGUUBGKGCGGUCGMAUAAARRGCCYUGGGAAUGUAGCUCCCUUCGGGGAGUCUUAUAGCCCUVGGUGCAAWGCGGCCAGCCGGGACCGAGGDCCGCGCUUBGGCUAGGAUGCGGUCGUAAUGGUUGUAAGCGMCCYGUCUUGAAACACGGACCAAGGAGUCUAACAUCUAUGCGAGUGUUUGGGUGUUUAACCCAUGCGCGGAAUGAAAGUGAACGGAGGUGAGAACCCUUAAGGGCGCAUCAUCGACCGAUCCAGAUGUCUUCGGAUGGAUUUGAGUAUGAGCAUAGCUGUUGGGACCCGAAAGAUGGUGAAUCUAUGCCUGAAUAGGGUGAAGCCAGAGGAAACUCUGGUGGAGGA
rnacentral:rRNA from 1 species